CCUACGGGAGGCAGCAGUGAGGAAUAUUGGUCAAUGGCCGAAAGCCUGAACCAGCCAAGCCGCGUGAAGGACGACGGUCCUAAGCAUUGUAAACCUCUUUUGUCAAGGGACAAAAUCAGGCUCGUGUGCCGGACCGAGGGUACCUGAAGAAAAAGCAUCGGCUAACUCCGUGCCACCAGCCGCGGUAAUACGGAGGAUGCGAGCGUUAUCCGGAUUUAUUGGGUUUAAAGGGUGCGUAGGCGGUCUGUUAAGUCAGCGGUAAAAUUCCGGGGCUCAACCCCGUCGAGCCGUUGAAACUGGCAGUCUUGAGGUGUCGAGAAGUACGCGGAAUGCGCGGUGUAGCGGUGAAAUGCAUAGAUAUUGCGCAGAACUCCGAUUGCGAAGGCAGCAUACCGGCGGCGGACUGACGCUGAGGCACGAAAGCGUGGGGAUCGAACAGGAUUAGAUACCCGAGUAGUC
rnacentral:rRNA from 1 species